GAUGAACGCUGGCGGCGUGCCUAAUACAUGCAAGUCGAGCGAACAGACGAGGAGCUUGCUCCUCUGACGUUAGCGGCGGACGGGUGAGUAACACGUGGAUAACCUACCUAGAAGACUGGGAUAACUUCGGGAAACCGGAGCUAAUACCGGAUAAUAUAUUGAACCGCAUGGUUCAAUAGUGAAAGACGGUUUUGCUGUCACUUAUAGAUGGAGCCGCGCCGCAUUCGCUAGUUGGUAAGGGAACGGCUUACCAAGGCGACGAUGCGUAGCCGACCUGAGAGGGUGAUCGGCCACACCGGAACUGAGCCACGGUCCAGACUCCUACGGGAGGCAGCAGUAGGGAAUCUUCCGCAAUGGGCGAAAGCCUGACGGAGCACCGCCGCGUGAGUGAUGAAGGUCUUCGGUUCGUAAAACUCUGUUAUUAGGGAAGAACAAAUGUGUAAGUAACUAUGCCCGUCUUGACGGUACCUAAUCAGAAAGCCACGGCUAACUACGUG
rnacentral:rRNA from 1 species